rnacentral:rRNA from 1 species
UACGUAGGGUCCGAGCGUUGUCCGGAAUUACUGGGCGUAAAGAGCUCGUAGGCGGUCUGUCGCGUCGGCUGUGAAAACUCGGGGCUCAACCCCGAGCCUGCAGUCGAUACGGGCAGACUAGAGUGCUGUAGGGGAGACUGGAAUUCCUGGUGUAGCGGUGAAAUGCGCAGAUAUCAGGAGGAACACCGGUGGCGAAGGCGGGUCUCUGGGCAGUAACUGACGCUGAGGAGCGAAAGCGUGGGGAGCGAACAGG